rnacentral:lncRNA from 1 species
GCUCCCUAUUCUGUGAAAGGGGAGGUGGGACAGGACCCUGUCAGCUUUGACACCAUAGAGCGGUGGAGGGAAGGUUUCUCAGUGGCUCCCUCUCCCCUCCUACCCGAUCCCUGCCUUGCUGGUCAGGGCCUGGAAAAUCUCCCUGCAGGCCCCCCUCGCUCCUCGCUCCUCGCUCCUCGCUCCUCGCUGAGCAGCCUGAUGCCCUUCCCCCUGGCAGAGCCAGUACGUCUUCCUGCACAGCUGCCUACUGAACAAGAUUCUGGAAGGGCCCUUCAACAUCUCUGAGUCUUGGCCCAUCUCUGUGAUGAACUUCGCACAGGCGUGUGCCAAGAGGGCAGCCAAUGCCAACGCUGGCUUCUUGAAGGAGUACGAGCUCUUGCUGCAGGCCAUCAAGGACGAGGCUGGCUCUUACGCACCCCUGCCUGGCUAUGAGCAGGACAGCCCCAUCUCCUGGUGGGCCCUCUGGCUGUGAUCAUAUGGUGCUGACUGGCCUCGCAGGGCCAGAGGAGCUCUGGGAGCUGGUGUGGCAGCACGGGGCUCAUGUGCUUGUCUCUCUGUGCCCACUCGAUGCCAUGGAGAAGGUCAGUUGCAGCAAGGGUGCGACCCAGCUGGGCACCUUCCUGGCCAUGGAGCAGCUGCUGCAGCAGGCAGGGUCUGAGUGCACCGUGGAUGUCUUUAACGUGGCCCUGCAGCAGUCUCAGGCCUGUGACCUUAUGACCCCAACGCUGAAGCAGUAUAUCUACCUCUACAAUUGUCUGAACAGCGCACUGGCAGACGGGCUGCCCCUGAGUCGGCACUGGUCACUGUGCAGGAGAGGUUUGUGCCCUGUGGGAUGGGGACAGCAUUCCUGACACAUCCACGUGGGCCUGGGCUCCCCAGAAGGGCGGCCUCCACUGGGCCCUGUGCUGCAAAGGUAAAGGGUCUUGGAAUAAAGACCUGUGGCCAAGCGUGAA